rnacentral:rRNA from 1 species
AGCAGCCGCGGUAAUUCCAGCUCCAAUAGCGUAUAUUAAAGUUGUUGCAGUUAAAAAGCUCGUAGUUGAAUUUCGGGGUUAGCAGGUCGGUCGUGCCAAUGGUAUGCACUGGCCUUGCUGAUUCCUCCCUCUUGAUGAACCGUAAUGCCAUUAAUUUGGUGUUGCGGGGAAUCAGGACUGUUACUUUGAAAAAAUUAGAGUGUUUAAAGCAGGCAAGCGCUUGAAUACAUUAGCAUGGAAUAAUGAAAUAGGACGUUUGAUCCUAUUUUGUUGGUUUCUAGGAUUGACGUAAUGAUUAAUAGGGAUAGUUGGGGGCAUUAGUAUUCAAUUGUCAGAGGUGAAAUUCUUGGAUUUAUUGAAGACUAACUACUGCGAAAGCAUUUGCCAAGGAUGUUUUCAUUAAUCAAGAACGAAAGUUAGGGGAUCGAAGACGAUCAGAUACCGUCGUAG